ensembl:lncRNA
CUGACCACUGGUGUGCCCCAGGGAUCUGUCCUGGGGCCCCUUCUUUUCAUUAUCUACCUUCUACCGCUUGGACAUAUUUUCCGUAAAUACAAUAUCCAUUUUCACUGUUAUGCCGAUGACACCCAGCUUUAUCUGUCCACUAAACCUGAUUCUGCUCUUCCCCCAUCCUCCCUUACCCUCUGUUUAGCUGAACUAAAUUCAUGGUUCUCUUCUAAUUUUCUCAAACUCAAUAGUAAUAAAUCCGAGCUCCUCUUGGUGGGCACUAAAUUAACAUUAUCCAGAACCAACAGUUUCUCUAUUACUAUCGAUAACUCACCGGUCUUCAUUUCUUCCUCUGUGAAAAGUUUGGGUGUCAUCCUCGACUUUAUCUUUCAAUUCACACAUUAAUAAUGUUACUCGGUCUGCAUAUUUUCAAUUGCGCAACAUUAAUCGUCUCCAUCCUUUUCUCACCCCACAUGCUAAUGCCAUUCUUGUCCAUAGCCUUGUUACUUCCCGGAUUGAUUAUUGUAAUUCACUUCUUUUUGGUCUUACUCAAAAAUCCAUCCACAAGCUCCAACGCGUCCAGAACUCUGCUGCCCGUAUCAUCACCAGGACCCCUUCUGUCCACCACAUCACUCCUGCCUUGCAGCAGCUUCAUUGGCUCCCGGUCAAAUAUCGCAUCAAUUUCAAAAUACUCUUGUACACAUUUAAGGCUAUUCAUCAUCUCUCUCCUCCAUAUCUCUCUGAUCUGGUUAAGAUCACCGCCCCAUCUCGUUGUCUCAGAUCUUCUUCUUCCCUUUCACUCUCCGUCCCUUCCCCCCAUCUUGCAACCAUGGGCAGCAGGACUUUCAGCUGCUCUGCUCCACGACUCUGGAAUUCCCUAAAUCCUGAUUUAAGAAAUAUCUCUUCCUUCUCACUCUUUAAGUCCAAACUCAAAACCCACUUGUACAAAAUAGCUUAUCCCACAUAACCUCUCCACUCUGCUAUUUUAUUUGUUUAUGUCUUAUCCUUUUAUGUUGCUUUUAUUCUACCGUGUACAGUGACCUUGAGUGUUUUGAAAGGCGCUUUCAAAUAAAAUUUAUCAUUAUUAUUAUUAUUAUUAUUAUUAUUAUUAGUCUGGUGAGAUUAUUUUUCUCUGCAAUUCAUGAAUAGGCAUGUUACUGAACUUGCAUUUGAACAAGAAGAUGUGAUACAGAGUUUCCUCCAUGAAGAAUUUUCCUCAUCUUAAAAUGAAACAUGAAUCUUUUAAAGUAGACCAAAAGUUUCACAUUUCCAUGGUGGUUAGCUAGGGCCUUGUAUCUUAAUUGCAAAAUCCUAACUCUGAUAUGCUGAGACAGGCAGGAUUCACAUGGAUGAAUUUCUGGCUUCAACACUCUUAUUUGCCUUGAAUUGGGUAACAUCAUGCAUCGCUGAUCUAAAUUACAGAUCAAUUGCUUUGCUUUGUCUGUACUAUAAGUGGAGAGACAUUCAAGAUCUGAAGCACCAGUGCAGACAUUCAACAGUCAUGAUUAUUCACUUGUGAUUUGUGCAGUUUGGCAUCUAAAUGUAAGAAAUAAGUUAUUCAUUGCAGUGAAUAAUCACCCUGUCGUAUUUGAACAAAAUUACUCCGAGGAAGGCACCUCGGCUGAUGUUAAAGGCUAAUCAAAGCUUGGCUAGCUUGCCUUGUGAUGAUUGGUUACUAUUGCUAUGACAUUUGUGCCAGCAAAGUUACCCCCAAACAUCAGGAAAGCUUAUGUCAAACGUUGGAAGCAAUGCAUUGAUGUGAAUCCUGCCUUGACUUACAUAGGUGAUAAUACUGCAAGGGUUGACUCAGCUAAACAAACUUUAACUGACUAUAACUAUAACUGAUUCUUCUUCACAAAAAGAAGAACCUCACUACUUAGUACUCAUCUAUGUAAAGCUCCAAAAGGAGCCACUCACUGCAUUCAGAUCUGCUGUAAAAGCUUUGCUAUUCUAACAUUAAGAUAAGUAAAAGACUAUAUAAGCAAAGACACAGUUGUUAUGGAACAAAUGCAGACUAACUGAAAUGUAAAAUUAAAGUUUUAUAUUGUCAAGAAUAAACAGUGAAUAGUUUAGAGCAAAUACUCUCAAAAGUUGGAACAUUAUUUUACCCUGGCAGCUUAAGUUGCCGUCACACUGGAAACGAUUCCCUCAUUGCAUAUUUACUUUGAAGCUGACGACUGGUCACUUAGUAGAAUGCCGGGAAGUUGAGAGAUGUUUCUUGGGUCCUGCUCGCUUUGAGUCACCAGCUGUUAUUUUCCCCGUACUUGCUCGACGCGACUUUCUAUGGUCUCUGGUUGUUACAUCAGUGUAAAUUGUUUCCAGUAUGGAUGCAGCUUCAGUCUACAAAAAAAAAGACAGGCUUGACACUUGACGCAAGUAGUAAAAGCAUUAAUCCACUCUGUAGCAAUAAUGACAGUUAUACUCUGUGCUCUACAUAGAAUAAAAACUGUCAAAAUUACUAUGGGUUGCAAGAUGAGGCAGGUCAAACAUAGGCUGUUGUAAGAUUUUGUAAAAAAAUUCUAAAAUAAGCUAAUAAUUACCUGUUGUGACCAGACCACUUAAAUGGCUAAUCUUUUGUUUGUAAAUGGAAAACCUUCUAAGUGCAAUCAUUUAGUGUGAUAAACCAAAACUGCAUGGGCUUGACCAUUUUUAGAUAAAUACUAUCAUUUGGGAAAUGUCUAUUUAAAAUCUCUUUAGAAGUUAUUCCAUACAAAAUAAAAAAUGCCAUAGAUAAUCUUCUGCAGUUAUAACCUGUACAGCACUAUAACAUGAAAUCUUAAUGCUCUCAGCCCCACUGUAGCAGCUUCUCCAUAGACCGUAGUACACCAAUUGCUUUGGGAGGAAGCCAGCAGAUUGUUACUCCUGCUGAACCAUCAACACAUCCGGUACCACAGUGGAAUCCCCCUCCAGUGGAACGUCAUUCUCUAGAUAAUAGGUCUGUGUGUGUGUUUGUGUGUGUUUCUGUCAUUGAAAUAGUGUGUAUAAGUCAAAGUUUCAGCAUUAAAAUAUUCUUUUGUUUGUAACACAUGUUUGUUUCCAGUGACCGUGCUGGUGAGGAAUUCCUGAGAUGCAUUGCAGCCAACAAACCUCUCCCAAACUAUCUGAAAGGCAACAUGGCAUACAACCUGGCUGACGCAUUUAAGUCAGCUAGUAUCUUGAAAGAAGCAGUCAAAUCAGACCGUGAAUUCCAGAAGCAUGUGCCUAGAAGCAAGAGCCGUAGUCGAAGCAGAAGCCGAGGCAGGUCUCGAGCCAAGAGUCGCGGUCGAAGCAAAAGCAGAGUACGCAGCCGAAGCAGGGGAAGAAGCAAAACUCAAGCCUGUGGGAAGAGUCGAGCUAGAAGCAAAAGUAGGGCUCGCAGUAGGAGUCGGAGCAACAGUCGAAGUGAGAAAAAAAGUCAUGUACGGAGCAAGAGUCGAGCAAGGCGAUCCAAGUCACGAAGUAGCAGUAGUGAAAAGAGCCGAGGCAAAGGCAAAAAGAAAAACAGGAGCCCCGGACUCAUCACUGUCAACAGCAGUAAUAAUCUGCCAGGAAAUAGUCUAUUAGAAGGAUUGAAGCUGGUUAUGAGCAGCCAAGAUUUGGAAGAUCACCUGCCAUCUCUCAAAGAUAUCAUCCUCACUAUUAAGGCUCCAGAUGAGGGCAAAAAAGUUGAGUGUGUAUCUAAUGAGCCUACACACAUGGAACAUGACAGUCAAGACAGUUUAUCAAUGCUGGAAAAGGAAAGCAUGCUGCUUCCGCAUGAAAGAGUUGGUGGUGAUUUCUCAUGGCUUCAAGGACAAAGUCAAGAAGAUGCUGCAUACCAGAAAGCUAAUGAACUUGAAGAUGAAGAGUCUUUCUUGUAUGGGAAUGAACCAGCUUCCCAGAUUAAUGAAAAGGCCAAACUACAGAAAGAGAGUAGUUCCCUUUCCACUCGUUGUGGACAUCUUCUUGAUCCAAAUCAGUCCCUGCAGUUGGCUUCUUCAACUUUAGUCCACUCCAAUCUGGACAACAUGGAAUAUGAGAAAAUCAAGACCAUAUUAAAAAGCCUGGGUUCAUCAAGUGAGAUCAAGGUGAAGACGCAGGGUCAGAAUGAGCAGGAGUCAUCUCCUACACUUGUCAAUUCAGACAAAGCAGCAGCAACUUUAGCAUUGCCAGCACUCAAUAACCCAAAUGUACGUCAGGCUCUGGAGUCUCUGCAAUCUCUGAUCAAAGCUACAAAGGAGAAACGAACAAAAAGUGACUGCGCAUCUCAAGCAUCUGAUAAACAUAAGGAGGGUGACAGUGAGGAAAGGAAGAGAGAGAAACAAGAGAAAGUAAAUAAAAUGGAGUCUUUGGCCAAAGAACUGGAUGAACUGUUAAAACAAGAUGGACUGGGUUUUAUAACUCCAGUUACUGGCUUUUACUGCCAGAACUGUGAGGAGUUCAUUGGAGAUUUGAAGUCUGCUGAAAACCAUGCAGCUAUCCGCCAUCAUAGUAACUCUAUUGCAAAAGAACAGACGGACAGGCACUCUAAAGACAUCAAAGGACACCCACAUCAUUACAGUCCCUCCAGUAAUCGACACCCUGACCCCCCAGACAGGAGAGAUCACAGGGGUUAUGGUUACCGCGGGGAUUCAGGAAACCACCGGAAUAGCACAGACCAUCUACGGAAUUGGAAGGAUGGCAAAGAUUUCAGAAGCCGAUACCAUGAUGAUGACCACAAAAGUCACAAGGAUAGAGAUAAAAACAUCUUCUUGAAAGAGGAAAUGAAAAAGGAGCGAAUGUUUAUAACAGUCUCCGAUGGACUGACACCUUCAACUUCUAACAUCAGGGUCAAGGAGGAGGUGGACAAGGAGAAGGCCACUGGAAGCCAUGGUAAAGUUAAAGCGAAAGACCUAGAAUCAUCCAAGGAAAAGAAAGGCAGCAUUGAAAAUGAUCAAUACAGUGAUAGCACUGAUGAUGACGGAAAAUCACCUAAAACAAAAAAGAAUAAAAAGAAAAAGAAGAAGAAGGAGAAGGAGAAGGAGAAAAAGAAUAAGAAUAAGAAACAGAAGGAGAAGUCUUAGGUGUUAUUUUGUCCUUGUCAUAUAACUCUGGGAUGAUGGUAGCAGCUUAUUUCUGGACUGAUUUUCUAACAUAGUUUUCUCACUUUCUUUUCCUCCACCCAAUUGUUUUUUGUUACUGUCAUUAGAAGAGGAAGGUAGACCUCAGAGUGAUUCAUCAUGUAUGAAGGAAUAGACUGAUAUGUUAGGAAGCACGUUUGUUGGUGGUCUUUCUCUAAAAGAAGAUUAGUAUUACUUUUGUCUUUGUGUAUCUAGUACAGUGGUCUUUACCUCACUUAGAACUAAGAUUGAUUUUUCUCAGUUAAUUCAGGUAUUUUUCCCCCACUUCAGACAGCGUGUUUGCUCGGUCAAAUUAAUUCUCAUGUGGAAUGAAAUGUUCUCAUGUGUUCCUCAGUAAACAGGCAAACAAAAACCUUUUCCAAGACGUCUGUUCCUUUUACACAUUCUGCACAGUUUUCAGCACUGUAUUAAAGUCUGCCACGUUUCAGGUAUGGCAUCACAUCUUGGUUCUAUUUUUUAAUUAAAUGUUCAAUAAAAUAAGCAGUAAGAAAAUAAGCAGUAAGAAAUUUUUUUCAUUUCAUUGGACCAACAGCAUUGUAGUUUUAGAAAAGGUAUACAUGUAUCUGACAUCUUGUAUUCAUUUUGAUCUCAAAUAAAGACGUAAAAUAAACAAAUGUGUACUAUUCCUUAGUUUUUGGGGUUUUCUUUCUUGAUUUUAUGUUUGAUAUUAUGUUUGAGUGGCUCCCAUCAGGAAGUACAUGUAGACUAUGCUUCCAGGAUGUAGGACACAAAAAAAAGGGUCACUAAUGUCCCUACAGCAUUUCAACAUCUGAACUGUAAGCCUUUCCCACCCCAGUAUUGCAUCCUUUUCUUGCUUCCUUCCCCACACAUUCAGUUCCUUGGUAAUUGAACUGAUCAUUGAAUCUGAACUAUGAUUGGUCAUUUUAUACUGAUGCUUUUAUGUUCUAUGUCUUAUGUGGUGGUCUCUGUGCCUUUUUAAUUGCCCCUUGGGGAUAAAUAAAGGGAAUUUGAAUUGUAUCAAUACAUUUGAAGUGAUCAUAUGCGUGUUUGAUUUAAUUUUAAAUUUACCACAAUUUGUUUUUAAUAUCUGAAAUGUUCAAAUUUAUUCAGGUAAAUGGCAAAGAACCUGCAUCUAAAGAGUAGUUUAGAAUUCUAGUACAAAUUGGAAAUAGUGAAACUACAAGUAACUCAAAGUUACUUUACUAAGUUCGUAAGCUAAGUUAUUUUUGCUUGACGUCUGUGGAG